CGGAGCGUAGCGCAGCCUGGUAGCGCACCUGGAUGGGGUCCAGGGGGUCGGAGGUUCGAAUCCUCUCGCUCCGACCA
rnacentral:tRNA from 5 species